AUUGAACGCUGGCGGCAGGCCUAACACAUGCAAGUCGAGCGGUAACACAGAGAGCUUGCUCUCGGGUGACGAGCGGCGGACGGGUGAGUAAUGUCUGGGAAACUGCCUGAUGGAGGGGGAUAACUACUGGAAACGGUAGCUAAUACCGCAUAACGUCGCAAGACCAAAGAGGGGGACCUUCGGGCCUCUUGCCAUCAGAUGUGCCCAGAUGGGAUUAGCUAGUAGGUGGGGUAACGGCUCACCUAGGCGACGAUCCCUAGCUGGUCUGAGAGGAUGACCAGCCACACUGGAACUGAGACACGGUCCAGACUCCUACGGGAGGCAGCAGUGGGGAAUAUUGCACAAUGGGCGCAAGCCUGAUGCAGCCAUGCCGCGUGUAUGAAGAAGGCCUUCGGGUUGUAAAGUACUUUCAGCGGGGAGGAAGGCGAUAAGGUUAAUAACCUUGUCGAUUGACGUUACCCGCAGAAGAAGCACCGGCUAACUCCGUGCCAGCAGCCGCAGUAA
rnacentral:rRNA from 1 species